GAGGCAGUAAUAAUUGAGAUGUAAAUGGGCUUUAUGUUGUACCAAGUGGUAUAGGAUGAAGGUUCUGAAAAUACUGACAGGAGAAGACUAGAGAUAUAAGUAUGAGAGAAAAGGAUGGAUAGAAUUAAAUCUGGAUGUUACUUAGAGAAACACUUGGGAAAAGCUCAGGAAGCAUGGGAAACUGGAGCAGAGACAGGAGGUUGUAAGGAUGCUUGGAGAGUCCAAUGAGAGAAGGGCAUAAGCUUUAUAUAGAUCAGUUAUCUAGAAAAGCCUUGAAAAGAAGCAGCAGCUUCAAUCACUUCAUCUAAGCAGACUGAAGGAACCUUGAGAUGAGAAAUUUGAUAAAGAGCUUUAGGAUGGAAUCCAAAUAUUAAAUACAACUGCCCAAGCAGUAUCCGAAGGUUGCGGGGAACAUUAUAUCUUCAGUUGGGAGUGAAAGCAGUAACUGGUGGCCAGGACAAAGCUGAAUUACCAGCUGACCUGGCAAUGAAUUUUGAGGAACAAUCUAUUAAAAUUGGGUUUAGUGAGUUAAGAAGCAUCAAAGCUGGUUUAAGUAGCCAGACUGUAUUCCUGUGACUCUGAAUAUUCUGAAAUUUCCUCACUGUAGAACAAUGUCAUAUUAAAACCCAAGUGACUGACUGGGCUGAAAUAACAGGAGCCAGAAAGCAGAGAAAGCAAGAGACAUACAAGGAUAAUAAAAAGAAAAACCCUUGGCCCAUAAGGUGGUGACAGGGAAAUUUACCAGUCAUGGAAUUCUAGGAAGAUUCUCUCUAGUGGUUGCUCUGAUAUGUUUUUGUACCAAAGUAUAAAGAUAAUUAUUUUGGGUUGUAGGAUAUUUCUAGUACCCUUCAAAUCAUGCCCAUGUCUAGUACUGAGGAGGAACUGAGGUAGGUCAAGGUGCACUUAAAAAAAUGCACAUAGCAAUCCCAUGUGUAACUGAAGUCUAAAUGAAAUACUUUUAUAUGUGUUUUCUUUCAAAUCAAAUUUACCCCAUAUUAAAAGUUAAAUUAAAAAACCACACGACUAAAUUCUCUAGUCUUCAUUUUUCUGCCACAAUUCCUCUAUUCUUCCCUGCAGUCAAAGGUUCGUGUUAUCAUUUGGAUUUAAGG
rnacentral:lncRNA from 1 species